rnacentral:rRNA from 1 species
AGAGUUUGAUCAUGGCUCAGGACGAACGCUGGCGGCGUGCUUAACACAUGCAAGUCGAGCGGAAAGGCCCCUUCGGGGGUACUCGAGCGGCGAACGGGUGAGUAACACGUGAGUAACCUGCCCUCGACUCUGGGAUAAGCCUGGGAAACUGGGUCUAAUACCGGAUAUUCACCUCCUGUCGCAUGGUGGGGGGUGGAAAGUUCCCUCUUUUGGGGGUUCGGUCGGGGAUGGGCUCGCGGCCUAUCAGCUUGUUGGUGGGGUGACGGCCUACCAAGGCGACGACGGGUAGCCGGCCUGAGAGGGCGACCGGCCACACUGGGACUGAGACACGGCCCAGACUCCUACGGGAGGCAGCAGUGGGGAAUCUUGCGCAAUGGGCGAAAGCCUGACGCAGCGACGCCGCGUGGGGGAUGAAGGCCUUCGGGUUGUAAACCCCUUUCAGCACCGACGAAUGAAGGACGGUAGGUGCAGAAGAAGCGCCGGCUAACUACGUGCCAGCAGCCGCGGUAAUACGUAGGGCGCGAGCGUUGUCCGGAAUUAUUGGGCGUAAAGAGCUCGUAGGCGGCUUGUCGCGUCUGUCGUGAAAGCCCACGGCUUAACCGUGGGUUUGCGGUGGAUACGGGCAGGCUAGAGGCAGGUAGGGGAGCAUGGAAUUCCCGGUGUAGCGGUGAAAUGCGCAGAUAUCGGGAGGAACACCGGUGGCGAAGGCGGUGCUCUGGGCCUGUUCUGACGCUGAGGAGCGAAAGCGUGGGGAGCGAACAGGAUUAGAUACCCUGGUAGUCCACGCCGUAAACGUUGGGCGCUAGGUGUGGGGUUCUUCCACGGAUUCCGCGCCGUAGCUAACGCAUUAAGCGCCCCGCCUGGGGGGGUACGGCCGCAAGGCUAAAACUCAAAGGAAUUGACGG